rnacentral:lncRNA from 1 species
UGAUUUUUUGCCGGUAGAAUAAUUUGGACCCCAGGGAAGGUUGUUGCCGCGGAAGGCUUAUUCCCCUUGAGAGGGAGAGGCGUGGAAAGCGAAAAAGCAUUUAAUCCCUUAACUUUACAUCUUGAAGAACCAGUUGGUCUUGGCUUUGAUUAUGGAGCUGCGGGGAACUCCUGGAGGAGUGUGAGCCCUGGGAAAGAGAUCUUGCCCAACAGUGAAACUGCAAAAAGUUUAUGAGCCCCUGCCCUGGACUCGAUUCCAUCUAGUCACGGCACACAAGGUUAUGAAAGCUAAUUAUCUACGAAGUCAUUUUAGGCGUCAAGAGCUACAAGGAACUAAAGGUGCAUACUUUUUUUUGUAUGUUUAUGUUUUGGGGUUUCCUUUCUAUCUUAAUUUCUUUUUUCUUUUUUCUUUUUUCUUUUUUUUUUGGGGGGGGGUUUCAAGACAGGGUUUCUCUGUGUAGCUUUGUAGCCUGUCCUGGAGCUCACUUCUGUAAACCAGGCUGGCCUGGAACUCACAGAGAUUCACUUGCCUCUGCCUCCCGAGUGCUGGAAUUAAAGGUGUGUGCCACCAACACUUGGCUAAAGAUGCACAUCUUUAAUCCCAACACUGGGAAGGCAGAAGCAGGGGGAUCUCUGUGAGUUUGUUUCAAAGAUUUCCUACCAGGUGGUUGCCUGCCACCUUGUUUGCUCACAGGCAAAUAUAUCUUCCUCUUCACACCAACAAUUUGCCCUCAAUUCAUGGCGACAUCAUAACUUGCACAGAAAGGUGAAUCUAGUAGCUUUUUUCAAAGCCACAAAGUAGUGGUAUGUAGGGUGUAUAUUUAUAAACUGGGACCUGAGGAAGUUAAGAAAAGAGGACAGAGUCAAAGCCAGUCUGGCGUAACUACACAGUAAGACCCUGUUCUCAAAAGACAGAGAGAGAGAGAGAGAGAGAGAGAGAGAGAGAGAGAGAGAGAGAGAGAAUGAUACAUAUUGAAGUUUUGAAGUUGAUUUGGUUUGGUUAUUUAAAACAUUGCACAAUGUAUACUGCUGUCACAACAAUACAUAGUAUCGUAUACAUUUGUAUAACUGUACCUUUAGUUAUUUCAUGCGUGUGUCUGUGUAUAGGUGGGUGGGCUCUCCAGUACCACUUGCAAAUGUGAGGGUGGAGGUGAGAGGACAACUUAGAAAAGUCAGUUCUAGGGGGCUGGAGAGAUGGCUCAGAGGUUAAGAGCAUUGGCUGCUCUUCCAGAGGUCCUAAGUUCAAUUCCCAGCAACCACAUGGUGGCUCACAACCAUCUAUAAUGAGAUCUGGUGUCCUCUUCUGGCAUACAAUGUAUACAUGAUAAUUUUUUUUUUUUUUAAAAAAAAGGGUUUACAUCCAAAUGAAACACACACCGAAAUCAGCAGCCACACACAGUACUUGCUCUAGGCCAG